rnacentral:rRNA from 1 species
UACGUAGGGGGCAAGCGUUGUCCGGAAUUAUUGGGCGUAAAGCGCGCGCAGGCGGUCAAUUAAGUCAGGUGUUUAAGCCCGGGGCUCAACCCCGGUUCGCACUUGAAACUGGUCGACUUGAGUGUAGGAGAGGAAAGUGGAAUUCCACGUGUAGCGGUGAAAUGCGUAGAGAUGUGGAGGAACACCAGUGGCGAAGGCGACUUUCUGGCCUAUAACUGACGCUGAGGCGCGAAAGCGUGGGGAGCAAACAGG